CUGAAGAUGCUGAGAUGAGCCCUAAAAAGCCCCGUAAGCA
rnacentral:tRNA from 1 species